GGCUGGUUAGCUCAGUUGGUUAGAGCGUGGUGCUGGUAACACCAAGGUCUAGGGUUCAAGCCCUCUAGCAGCCA